rnacentral:rRNA from 1 species
AUUGAACGCUGGCGGCAGGCUUAACACAUGCAAGUCGAACGGUAACAGGGAUUAGCUUGCUAAUUUGCUGACGAGUGGCGGACGGGUGAGUAAUGCUUGGGAAUCUGGCUUAUGGAGGGGGAUAACUACGGGAAACUGUAGCUAAUACCGCGUAAAAUCUUAGGAUUAAAGGGUGGGACUUUCGAGCCACCUGCCAUAAGAUGAGCCCAAGUGGGAUUAGGUAGUUGGUUAGGUAAAGGCUGACCAAGCCGACGAUCUCUAGCUGGUCUGAGAGGAUGACCAGCCACACUGGAACUGAGACACGGUCCAGACUCCUACGGGAGGCAGCAGUGGGGAAUAUUGCACAAUGGGGGGAACCCUGAUGCAGCCAUGCCGCGUGAAUGAAGAAGGCCUUCGGGUUGUAAAGUUCUUUCGGUGACGAGGAAGGUUGAUAGGUUAAUAGUCCAUCAAAUUGACGUAAUCACA